rnacentral:rRNA from 1 species
GACGAACGCUGGCGGCGUGCUUAACACAUGCAAGUCGAACGGAAAGGCCCUGCUCUUGUGGGGUGCUCGAGUGGCGAACGGGUGAGUAACACGUGAGUAACCUGCCCUUGACUUUGGGAUAACUUCAGGAAACUGGGGCUAAUACCGGAUAGGAGCUCCUGCUGCAUGGUGGGGGUUGGAAAGUUUCGGCGGUUGGGGAUGGACUCGCGGCUUAUCAGCUUGUUGGUGGGGUAGUUGCUUACCAAGGCUUUGACGGGUAGCCGGCCUGAGAGGGUGACCGGCCACAUUGGGACUGAGGUACGCACCAGACUCCUACGGGAGGCAGCAGGGGGGAAUAUUGCAGAAUGGGCGGAAGCCUGAUGCAGCAACGCCGCGUGCGGGAUGCCGGCCUUCGGGUUGUAAACCGCUUUCGCCUGUGACGAAGCGUGAGUGACGGUAAUGGGUAAAGAAGCACCGGCUAACUACGUG